rnacentral:rRNA from 1 species
AAGUCGAGCGGCAGCGCGGGGGCAACCCUGGCGGCGAGCGGCGAACGGGUGAGUAACACAUCGGAACGUACCCUGUCGUGGGGGAUAGCCCGGCGAAAGCCGGAUUAAUACCGCAUACGACCUGAGGGUGAAAGCGGGGGAUCGCAAGACCUCGCGCGAUAGGAGCGGCCGAUGGCGGAUUAGCUAGUUGGUGAGGUAAAGGCUCACCAAGGCGACGAUCCGUAGCUGGUCUGAGAGGACGACCAGCCACACUGGAACUGAGACACGGUCCAGACUCCUACGGGAGGCAGCAGUGGGGAAUUUUGGACAAUGGGGGCAACCCUGAUCCAGCCAUUCCGCGUGAGUGAAGAAGGCCUUCGGGUUGUAAAGCUCUUUCGGCAGGAACGAAACGGUGGAGGCUAAUACCUUUCAUCAAUGACGGUACCUGAAGAAGAAGCACCGGCUAACUACGUGCCAGCAGCCGCGGUAAUACGUAGGGUGCGAGCGUUAAUCGGAAUUACUGGGCGUAAAGCGUGCGCAGGCGGUUCUAUAAGACAGAUGUGAAAUCCCCGGGCUUAACCUGGGAACUGCGUUUGUGACUGUAGGACUGGAGUGUGGCAGAGGGGGGUGGAAUUCCACGUGUAGCAGUGAAAUGCGUAGAGAUGUGGAGGAACACCGAUGGCGAAGGCAGCCCCCUGGGUUAACACUGACGCUCAUGCACGAAAGCGUGGGGAGCAAACAGGAUUAGAUACCCUGGUAGUCCACGCCCUAAACGAUGCGAACUAGGUGUUGGAGAAGGAGACUUCUUUAGUACCGUAGC